UCCACAAAAUAAAACAUAGAGGCUACAUAAAAAAAUGUACAUUGUAUAGUAUAGCCCAGAUUGCGUAUAGACUGGUUGCUCAUUGACACUAGAGUAGUGAUAAGCAGAUUGACAGUGAAAAGCAGUUCAUCUCCAGGUCAUAAUUUGCACUUAGAUUACAUGUUUUUGCCUUUAUUUUCAACAAAUUUGAAAUAUAUUGAAACUGUUUUUUUUUUUUGUUUGUUUUUUUUAAAUUAGUAUCCAUUUUGUUUCAUUUAACUUGGAGACAAUGUCAGAGUCAACUGUUUUUCACAAAUUACUUUUUUUUAUGAUAUUGAUCAAUGGUUUUUACUGCACCAAAAUGUGAGAGCUCAGCUGCAGAAAUGUGCAAACAUCUGUCUCCAAAAACAGAGGGGGAGGGAUCGGCAUGUACAACAGCUGUCCUCAUAAUCGCAUGCUAUCGAUUCAUACUGCAGGAAAUCAAGGUUUCAUCCAAAUGUUGAUGUCUCAAGAUUAUACCACAUCCUCGUCAAGAAUUACCUUUAACUAACUCCAUCCGUUCAGCCAGUUUUAAAGUAUAAGUGAGACUUUUUACACAACAUUCAAGUGUUGGCCACUGAGUAAACACAGGAAGUGGGUGUGCUCCAUGGAACUAGAGGUCAGGGGGGCAAAAGGGGUUUUCGCUGGAUUCCCUGGAGUGAGCUGACAAAGGCAGACACCUUCCGCCCUACUCCAACAGCUUACCUAUGGCAACUCUGUCCCGACAGACACGCACCAUCAAAUGACAGCAAAUAAACCCAUUGACCUCCUUUAGGUAAUUAAAUUGCGACCUAGUCUUUCUGGU